CCCUUAGAUGUCCGGGGCUGCACGCGCGCUACACUGAAGGAAUCAGCGUGCUAAAACCAUUGUCGAAAGGCAUUGGUAAACCCAUUAAAAUCCUACGUGAUUGGGAUCGGGAAUUGCAAUUAUUUCCCUUGAGCGAGGAAUUCCCAGUAAGUGUGGGUCAUAAGCUCGCGUUGAUUACGUCCCUGCCCUUUGUACACACCGCCCGUCGCUGCCCGGGACUGAGCCGUUUCGAGAAAAGCGGGGACUGCUGCUGUCGGGGCUUUCGGGCCUUGGCUUCGGUGGAAACCGCUUUAAUCGCAGUGGCUUGAACCGGGCAAAAGUCGUAACA
rnacentral:rRNA from 1 species